GACUUUCUGGACUUAUGCCAUGAUAAAGAAAAUUACUUUCUCUUUUUAUUGUUCUUGCUUAUGAGGUUGCUGCCAAUACCAUAAUAGCACACAAUGUCAAAU